rnacentral:rRNA from 1 species
UACGAAGGGUGCAAACGUUGCUCGGAAUCAUUGGGCGUAAAGCGCACGUAGGCGGCUUCGCAAGUCGGAUGUGAAAUCCCUCGGCUCAACCGAGGACGUGCAUCCGAAACUGCGGAGCUUGAGUACUGAAGAGGAUCGCGGAAUUCCCGGUGUAGAGGUGAAAUUCGUAGAUAUCGGGAGGAACACCAGUGGCGAAGGCGGCGAUCUGGGCAGAUACUGACGCUGAGGUGCGAAAGCGUGGGGAGCAAACAGGG